rnacentral:rRNA from 1 species
AUUGAACGCUGGCGGCAUGCCUUACACAUGCAAGUCGAACGGCAGCAUGAUCUAGCUUGCUAGAUUGAUGGCGAGAGGCGAACGGGUGAGAAAUACAUCGGAAUGUGCCCUGUAGUGGGGGAUAACUAGUCGAAAGAUUAGCUAAUACCGCAUACGACCUGAGGGUGAAAGUGGGGGACCGCAAGGCCUCAUGCUAUAGGCGCGUACGAUGUCUGAUUAGCUAGUUGGUGAGGUAAAGGCUCACCAAGGCGACGAUCAGUAGCUGGUCUGAGAGGACGAUCAGCCACACUGGGACUGAGACACGGCCCAGACUCCUACGGGAGGCAGCAGUGGGGAAUUUUGGACAAUGGGGGCAACCCUGAUCCAGCAAUGCCGCGUGUGUGAAGAAGGCCUUCGGGUUGUAAAGCACUUUUGUCCGGAAAGAAAUCGCACUUACUAAUAUUAGGUGUGGAUGACGGUACCGGAAGAAUAAGGACCGGCUAACUACGUGCCAGCCGCCGCCGUAAUAC